rnacentral:rRNA from 1 species
UUUUAUGGAGAGUUUGAUCCUGGCUCAGAGUGAACGCUGGCGGCGUGCCUAAUACAUGCAAGUCGAACGAUGAAGCUUCUAGCUUGCUAGAAGUGGAUUAGUGGCGCACGGGUGAGUAAGGUAUAGUUAAUCUGCCCUACACAAGAGGACAACAGUUGGAAACGACUGCUAAUACUCUAUACUCCUGCUUAACACAAGUUGAGUAGGGAAAGUUUUUCGGUGUAGGAUGAGACUAUAUAGUAUCAGCUAGUUGGUAAGGUAAUGGCUUACCAAGGCUAUGACGCUUAACUGGUCUGAGAGGAUGAUCAGUCACACUGGAACUGAGACACGGUCCAGACUCCUACGGGAGGCAGCAGUAGGGAAUAUUGCGCAAUGGGGGAAACCCUGACGCAGCAACGCCGCGUGGAGGAUGACACUUUUCGGAGCGUAAACUCCUU